GGAGUUGUAGCUCAGUGGUAGAGCGCUUGCCUUGAAUGCAUAAGACUCUGGGUUCAAUCCCCAGCACCA
rnacentral:tRNA from 1 species